AGUGAUCCGGUGGUUCUGAAUGGAAGGGCCAUCGCUCAACGGAUAAAAGGUACUCCGGGGAUAACAGGCUGAUACCGCCCAAGAGUUCAUAUCGACGGCGGUGUUUGGCACCUCGAUGUCGGCUCAUCACAUCCUGGGGCUGAAGUCGGUCCCAAGGGUAUGGCUGUUCGCCAUUUAAAGUGGUACGCGAGCUGGGUUUAGAACGUCGUGAGACAGUUCGGUCCCUAUCUGCCGUGGGCGUUGGAAGAUUGAAGGGGGCUGCUCCUAGUACGAGAGGACCGGAGUGGACGAACCUCUGGUGUUCGGGUUGUGUCGCCAGACGCAUUGCCCGGUAGCUAAGUUCGGAAUCGAUAACCGCUGAAAGCAUCUAAGCGGGAAGCGAGCCCUGAGAUGAGUCUUCCCUGAUACUUUAAGUAUCCUAAAGGGUUGUCGGAGACUACGACGUUGAUAGGUCAGGUGUGUAAGUGCUGUGAGGCAUUGAGCUAACUGAUACUAAUUGCCCGUGAGGCUUAACCAUACAACACCCAAGGGGUUU
rnacentral:rRNA from 1 species